rnacentral:rRNA from 1 species
AACGCGAAGAACCUUACCUGGGCUCGAACGACUGGUGGUAAAAGGAUGAAAGUCUUGAUGACCCGCAAGGGAGCCAGCCGAGGUGCUGCAUGGUUGUCGUCAGCUCGUGUCGUGAGAUGUUGGGUUAAGUCCCGCAACGAGCGCAACCCCUAUCCUGUGUUGCUACCCGCAAGGGGGGACUCUCAGGAGACUGCCGCGGAUAACGUGGAGGAAGGUGGGGCUGACGUCAAAUCAUCAUGGCCUUUAUGUCCAGGGCCACACACGUGCUACAAUGGCGUAUACAACGGGAUGCAAGAGCGCAAGCUGGAGCCAAUCCCUCAAAAGUACGCCUCAGUUCAGAUUGUGGGCUGCAACUCGACUGCAUGAAGCUGGAAUCGCUAGUAAUCGCGUAUCAGAACGACGCGGUGAAUACGUUCCCGGGCCUUGUACACACCGCGAGC